AUGGAGGACGCGACCGAACAGCCGUCCGUCUCGUUGCCUGAUGACCUGACCGAGGAGAUAUUCGCGCGGAUGCCGGCCAAGUCGGUGCAGCGCUGCCGCUGCCUCUCUCGCGCCUGGGCCGCCACACUCUCCUCCCAGGGCUUCGUCGACCGUCACCUCCGCCUCGCCAACCGCCGUGGCUCCCCUAGGCUCUACAUCCUCCCAGAGUACGGCUCGAGAGACACCACGGUGCACGCCUGGUCGCCCGGCCGCCCCCUCGCCCGCCUCCGCCGCGUCGUCGCCGUCACCGGUCAGUGCCGUGGCCUCGUCGUCCUAGAGGCUGAUAGGCCCAUGAGCAGCAUCGACUUUACCUACGAGGUCAACAACUACGUCUGGAACCCCUCCACCGGCCAGAUCACGGCGCUCCCCAAGGGCAAGCAGAAUUUGGGGAUUGGCUACGACACGCGCAUCCGCAAGCACAAGUGCCGCGGCGAGCUUCCCCCGGCGUGUGAGGUGUAUGUACUCAACUCCAUGGGACAAUGGCGGCCGCCAGGCUUUGCAACGAAUUUCUGCACGGACCAGAGCAUAUUUGCGCAGGGCCACAUGUACUGGGUCGCGGAGCCGGACAAUAAGUUCAACUUCGAGAGGAUCAUCAUGUCCUUCUCGAUCUUGCCGCCACCGCCUGUCAAAAUGUACCCCUGCCAGAUAAGGGAGCUCGACGGGCGCCUCUGUGUCUUCAACAAUACAGAUGAGUUAAAGCGCUCGUACGACAUCUGGCUGCUGCGUGACCACCAGGGUGGCCUUUGGGAUCUCCGUUGCAGCAUUGACCUGGACACGCCACCGCUGGCAGACACUCAGUUAAAGCACUCCCGUUCGGUCAUCCCACUUGGCAGUGUUGAUGAUGCCAGACGCUUGCUGCUCAGACCGGAUCUUGGUUGGAUCAAAAGCGAAAGUUUGGACUCCCACCAGCUUUUCAUGUACAGACCUGCGACCGGAGAUGUUGAGGACCUCCUCGCCGGCGGCGGCAUACUUACUCACCACACCAUGGCCCGAAGAGUUAUGGCACCAUAUGACGAAAGCCUUGAGUCCACCCGUAACCAUGAUAGUAAGUCACAAUCAUGA
rnacentral:rRNA from 1 species